GGGGAAGGGGAGAAGGAAGCCACCCUGUAGACUUGAGACUGAGUCUUAAUUCAAGUUCAAACUCUGUUGUUAACCAACAUCCAAAGUUAUGCAAUAGCUUACACUGCCUCUGUUAAAAACUUUUGAAAUAUCACUCAUUGAUAAACUAUUGUAAUACUUUUCCUUAGCUCAGUUUCUCACCUGAGGCACUGUUGACAUUUCAGGCCAGGUGAUCCUCUGUUUUGGGGGCUGUCCUGCGCAUUAUAGGAUUUUAGCAGCAUCCCUGGCCUCUGCCCACUCAGUGCCAGUAACACCUUCCUCAACAAUUAAUUAUGUCUGUCAGAAAUGUCUCCAGACAUUGCCAGAUGUCCCCUGGAGGGGCACAGUUGCCUCCAUUUGAGAGGCCCUGCUUCAGAGGAUUCAUUCUGAGUGAGUUCGCUAAUGCAUUUGAGCAAAUUGGAAGUUCUUCCCUGGGCCAGAGGCUCAGUAGCCAAAACAGAAUUACCCAGAGAACUAGGCCUCCGUAGAACAGUCAUUGCCUGAAAGGGGCAGGAGGUGACUGGGCGGAAUGGCACAAGUGGCCCCAGAGCAGGUCCAGCCCCCCUCCCACCGCAGCAUCCAGAAAGACCCGUGGGCAUUCGGUGGAUGAGCCCAAGAUCUAGAAAUGGAACAUUACUGGAGAAAAGGGCUUAGGAGACUAGAGGUAGCUCUACUCUCAGUGUGAGCAUGUGUCAGCACAGACGUUGUGGUGUCUGAUCACAGAGUAAAGGUAUGCUUCCUUAAUCUUGCAUUGAAAACCAUCUCCUUCGCAUACACCAUAUGCAAAACCAAAUUCAGGUAGAUUAAAAGCGAGAAAAGUACACAAAACUGCAGAUGCAUUCAGGAUAAAAGUAAGAUAAUAAUUUUAUUGUGUUGAGUUAUGAAAAGCCUUCCUUAAAAAGAUACAGCCCAGAGAUGAGAAAGGAAAAGGCACAAAAGGCCCCUGUCAUGCGCCAUGGAUGAAGAUACAAGUUGAAUGCCAGAAAGCGAGGGGCACAAUUUAAAGUGUUCAUUUUUAGAUUUAGCAAGUCUACUUUCACACAUGUAUCCUAUAAAAAUAUUUGCACAUAUGCAUAAAGGCACAUACAAGGACAUAACUGCAGCAAUGGCAAGGAGUGAUGAAAAAGUAGGAACAGUGGCCAAAUCGAGUGAUAACAGAAAAGGAGGCAGCACCGUGAGGAAGGUGGCGCAGCGUGCACCGCAGUGAGCACGGCCUGCGCCUAGACCCCUGUGCUGUCUGAGACCACCUCUGGAGUAUGCAGCCAUGUAUGGAUCACACGUGUCAAAUAGCGAAGUUACUCUGGAAGAGUUUUGUUUGUUUGUUUUUUUGGGGUUUUUUUUUUGUUUUUUUGUUUUGUUUUGUUUUUGCAGACAGAGUCUCGCUCUGUCGCCCACACUGGAGUGCAGUCACGUGAUCUCGGCUCACUGCAAGCUCUUGCCUCCCGGGUUCACGCCAUUCGCCUGCCUCAGCCUCCCGAGUAGCUGGGACUACAGGCGCCCGCCACCAUGCCUGUAGUCCUAAUUUUUUCUGUUUUUUAGUAGAGAUGGGGUUUCACCGUGUUAGCCAGGAUGGUCCCGAUCGCCUGACCUCGUGAUCCGCCUGCCUCGGCCUCCCAAAAUGCUGGAAUUACAGGCAUGAGCCAUCGCUCCCGACUUAAUUUUGCAUUCUCAGUGGAGACGGGGGUUUCACCAUGUUGGCCAGGCUGGUCUCGAACUCCUGACCUCAGGUGAUCCACUCGCCUCAGCCUCCCAAAGAGCUGGGAUUACAGCUGUGAGUCACCGCGCUCAGCUUAAUUUUGUAUUUUUAGUAGAGAUGGGGUUUCUCCAUUUUGGUCAGGCUGGUCUUGAACUCCUGACCUCAGGUGAUCCACCUGCCUCAGCCUCCCAAAGUGCUGGGAUUACAGGCAUGAGCCAUUGUGCCCGGCCACAUUUUUCUUUUUAAAUCAUUUUUAUUCAGGUACAACUUAUCCAAAAAUCAGCAGCACUGGUUUGUUUAUUGCAGAAAAAUGAAAUUUAGAAGUUUGGUCUAAAUUUUCUAGCUCGCUAAGGAAUCUUCUAAAAUUCCCAAUUUUCCUAUUUCUCACUAAUGUAGGAAAUAUUUAAAAGCCAGCAAAGAAGAAAACAUCUUUUAAAAUCUCAUUGUCUAUACGUAAUCACUAAGAACCUUUUGCAACUUUCCCUUAUAGUUUUUUAACCUGUAUAUGAGGCGUUCUCUGUCCUGAAGUAAUGUCCUGCCUCUGGCUAGCUCCUGUGACAGUAGCCCUCCCGGGGCUGGCCCUGGGUGAGGAGGGGUGGCGGCGGGGAGGUGAGCCCAGGAAAGGCUGCCCUCACCAAGGCUCGGAAACUUCAUUCAUGCACCGCACGAGGCGAUGGCUCAGGGCAGGCUUGGACGCCAAUACUUUGCCAGCUCCUGAGGCACCGGACAGGCUCUGGCCAGAGCUUAAUUUGUUAGCCCUAGAACAUUCCACGUUCACGUCGGACUCCAUAGUAGGGACUUUCUCCUCAGAGCUGGGCAGGAGGAGCCCACUGAGGGUGUGCCAUCUCUGCCCUCCAGGGAAAGCAGGAAGCAACAGGGAAACAUCCAUCUGCUCCGCCCUAGAGCCCCUGUCAAUUUUGGACCCACCGCUGUAGGUCUUCUGCCCCAUACUGUUAGAAAAAGAUGCAGGUUACCUGGGCACGUAAAAGGUUUUCAGGAGUGGAGUGCCUGAGAUCCCAGAGUCCACCUUUCCCUUAUAUAACACUCCUGUCACAGGACAGAUUAGAUUUCUUCCGUGUUUGGAGAACAUUAGUCCUUUAAAAUAUCAGCCUGUGCUGCAAAGUGGGGUGGAUUCUCUAGUCUCAGUCACUGUCUCAGCAGUGCUAUUGAAGCCGUCUCACCUGCUCCUUCUGGACUUCCUAGGGCUGCAGACCACAAGACUGGGAAACCACUUGGAAGACCGAGUGAACAAAUUUUUGCGGCGCCAGAAUCACCCUGAAGCCGGGGAGGUUUUUGUCCGAGUGGUGGCCAGCUCAGACAAGACGGUGGAGGUCAAGCCCGGGAUGAAGUCACGGUUUGUGGAUUCUGGGGAAAUGUCUGAAUCUUUCCCAUAUCGAACCAAAGCUCUGUUUGCUUUUGAGGAAAUUGACGGCGUGGAUGUCUGCUUUUUUGGAAUGCACGUCCAAGAAUACGGCUCUGAUUGCCCCCCUCCAAACACGAGGUAUGUGACAGGGCACAUCUGGGCCUGUCCUCCAAGUGAAGGAGAUGAUUACAUCUUCCAUUGCCACCCACCUGAUCAAAAAAUACCCAAGCCAAAACGACUGCAGGAGUGGUACAAAAAGAUGCUGGACAAGGCGUUUGCAGAGCGGAUCAUCCAUGACUACAAGGAUAUUUUCAAACAAGCAACUGAAGACAGGCUCACCAGUGCCAAGGAACUGCCCUAUUUUGAAGGUGAUUUCUGGCCCAAUGUGUUAGAAGAGAGCAUUAAGGAACUAGAACAAGAAGAAGAGGAGAGGAAAAAGGAAGAGAGCACUGCAGCCAGUGAAACCACUGAGGGCAGUCAGGGCGACAGCAAGAAUGCC
rnacentral:sRNA from 1 species